rnacentral:misc_RNA from 1 species
UCGUAACAAGGUCUCCGUAGGUGAACCUGCGGAGGGAUCAUUACAAGAACGCCCGGGCUUCGGCCUGGUUAUUCAUAACCCUUUGUUGUCCGACUCUGUUGCCUCCGGGGCGACCCUGCCUUCGGGCGGGGGCUCCGGGUGGACACUUCAAACUCUUGCGUAACUUUGCAGUCUGAGUAAACUUAAUUAAUAAAUUAAAACUUUUAACAACGGAUCUCUUGGUUCUGGCAUCGAUGAAGAACGCAGCGAAAUGCGAUAAGUAAUGUGAAUUGCAGAAUUCAGUGAAUCAUCGAAUCUUUGAACGCACAUUGCGCCCCCUGGUAUUCCGGGGGGCAUGCCUGUUCGAGCGUCAUUUCACCACUCAAGCCUCGCUUGGUAUUGGGCAACGCGGUCCGCCGCGUGCCUCAAAUCGUCCGGCUGGGUCUUCUGUCCCCUAAGCGUUGUGGAAACUAUUCGCUAAAGGGUGUUCGGGAGGCUACGCCGUAAAACAACCCCAU